CUUAACCUCCACAGAGGGCUAUUACAAGUUAUUUGGAUACAUCUACAGUCUACUGUGCAGCUGUUCAGGCUUCAAAAAUCAGAUUACCCUUUCCUUUUAAAACCUAGAGGAAUGUGAUCUUGAGCUGUGAGUCACCUUAUUGUGACGUACUGCUUUGGACUGUUUCUGCUUAUAGAAGAAGAUGUGAGCAUCAAACGGCAGUGCAGGGCACUGAGGGAUGAAGGAAAGCCUUCCAGGCGUGUCAUCCCAGGGGGAACCCAGCAGGGAUCAGGCAAGGGGCUGUGUCCCUGUGCCAGCAGGAAGUGGGAUGCUGGAUGCUGGAGGCAGGGUGCAGGAUGCGGGAUGUGGGUACAGGUGGAUGGACUCACCCUGAAGCUAGGCAUGCUUCUGCCCAAUGGCACACGGUGCAGCAUGGAAAGCAUGGAAGGUGAAAGCAUGCUGAAAAUGGUGCUGACCUGAACAAGAGAAAGGACCAAAGAUCACAGAAAAUCAACAAUGUCCGUGAGGUGACCGUGAGCCGAGACUUUGAAACCAGAGCUGGGAAUGCUGAGGUAUUUAGCAAAUGGGUUCCUCAUUCCCAGUCAAGAAUAGAGAGAUGUGCCAACUGGUGUCUUACUGUGACUUACUGCUACAGUGCUUCAUUUUUCCUGUCAGAUGGAGUCAUUCAGGAGCUGUGUGUGAUUCAGAGAGUAACCUGUACUUCAGUAGUAAACAUUUAUCUUCUGGGUUGGGCUUUUUAUUUGGCUGUUUGUCCUUAGACUUUCAAUGUAAGGUAUGGAUAUAAUGACCCAAUCCACUUUUCAGCGCAAAUCUGCAAAGUCAAUGCAUAAGCAGGAUGAGUGCAGCAAUUUUAGGCCCAUCUGCCUGACUAAUGGAAUGUAUCUGGAAAAGAUCUCUGCCUCGGUACACUUCCAAAGCGAGGCGGGGGUAUUCAUAUCCAUGAUUGCAACACUUCUCCCCACACUUUCUCUUGGAUGUACCUUGGACACCGCUGUCCCUGACCCACAGGCUCUGUCCAUAUGUCUUGGUGCCUUGAUGUUGUGUCUGCUUGGGUCUGACCACAUCCAGUAAAAAUUUUGGAGGCUAAACCCUUUUCACCUUGGUCCUCCUGGUUAUGCUUCACUUAUCUCCAUGAGAUUGCUGGGAACAAUCAUCAGGUGCAUUCGCAGGAUCCCUCUUCCCUGCACAUGAUGAAGAGAGUAGAAUGAAUGAGGAGAGCAAGAAAAUUGAUGUGCUGAGGAAAAGGCAGUUUAACAGGUGAAGGAAAGGGGCAGGGGGAGAAACACAAGUGAUGCAAAAGCAGUCACUCCCCAUCUCCCACAAGCAGAACCAUGCCUAGCCAGAUUCCAAACAACAGCCACCUUAGAAGUCUCAGACCUUUUCUUCUUUCCCAGAUAUUGAGCAUGAUGCCAUAUGGUAUGGAAUAUCAUUUUGGCCACUUGGGGUCAGCUCUGCUAUCCAUUACAGCUAUAUACUGGGAGAUGAGGAGACAAGAGGGAAGUCUGAAGCCUCAGGUAUUUCAUUGGUUACCAAAUGGCAAGAUGGAGCCAGAUCCACCCACAUAAAUAUUUA